rnacentral:tRNA from 2 species
GUGCCUGUAGCUCAGUUGGAUAGAGCAACCGCCUUCUAAGCGGUUGGUCGCACGUUCGAAUCGUGCCAGGCGCGCCA